UUGGCUGCCAAAGUGUUUGAGUCCAUUGGCAAGUUUGGCCUGGUCUUAGCCGUUGCAGGAGGUGUGGUAAACUCUGCCUUAUAUAAUGUGGAUGCUGGGCACAGAGCUGCGAUCUUUGACCAAUUCCAUGGAGUACAGGACAUUGUAGUAGGGGAAGGGACUCACUUUCUCAUCCCAUGGGUACAGAAACCAAUUAUCUUUGCUGUUCUCGACCACGUAAUGCUCCAGUCAUCACUGGUAGCAAAGAUUUAUAGAUUGUCAAUAUCACACGGCGGAUCCUCUUCCGGCCUAUCGCUAGCCAACUUCCUCAUAUCUUCACCAGCAUCGGAGAGGACUAUGAUGAGCGUGUGCUGCCGUCCAUCACUACCAAAUCAAGUCAGUGGUGGCACGCUUUGAUGCUGGAGAACUAAUCACCCAGAGAGAGCUGGUCUCCAGGCAGGUGAGCGACGACCUUACGGAGCGAGCAGCCACCUUUGGGUUCAUCCUGGACUACGUGUCCUUGACACAUCUGACUUUCAGGAAGGAGUUCACAGAAGCCGUGGAAGCCAAAAAGGUGGCUCAGCAGGAAGCAGAGAGGGCCAGAUCUGUGGUGGAAAAGGCUGAGCAGAGGAAAAAGGCGGCCAUCAUCUCUGCUGAGGGUGACUCUAAGGCAGCCGAGCUGAUCACCAACUCACUGGCCACCGCAGGGGACAGCCUGAUCGAGCUGUGUAAGCUGGAAGUCGUGGAGGACAUUGCAUACCAGCUCUCGCUCUCGGAAUAUCACCUACCUGCCAGCAGGGCAGUCCGUGCCCCUCCAGCUGCCCCAG
rnacentral:lncRNA from 1 species